rnacentral:rRNA from 1 species
UACAGAGGUGGCAAGCGUUGUUCGGAAUUACUGGGCGUAAAGGGCGCGUAGGCGGCCCACUAAGUCAGACGUGAAAUCCCCAGGCUUAACCUGGGAACUGCGUCUGAUACUGGAGGGCUUGAGUAUGGGAGAGGGAUGUAGAAUUCCAGGUGUAGCGGUGAAAUGCGUAGAUAUCUGGAGGAAUACCGGUGGCGAAGGCGGCAUCCUGGACCAUUACUGACGCUGAGGCGCGAAAGCUAGGGGAGCAAACGGG